AUUGUAUUUGAAUUAAUUAAACGGUUCUCAUAGUUAUUUUGUAUAAAUAUAAUCUGAAACUUGGUAAAUAAAGAACUAUUUACACAAAAUUGAUUUUUUGGAUCGUGAAAGAUCACGUACCGCAUUUUUGAAGAUCGUGAAAAGGAUCGUGAAAGAUCUGAUGCUACGAAGACGUUCAAAUUAUUCUUCAAUUAUAUGACAAUUGAUAUUUGUUAUUGGUAUAGAGAAAGGCUAGAUAGGUCAACAUCCUCAAUAGGUUUAAGCAUCUCAAAUAUUAAUAUUUUCAGAAAAUGAAAAGAAAAAGAAAUAACAACUACGGCAAUAAGAAAAGACAAUGGGUGACAAAACGCCGAAAAAAGCAAUCCAGUGAAGUUGAGCCAAUGGAAGAGGUUGAAGAUGCAGAUAACGUUACAGAAGCAACACACGAAUAUACAAAUACAUUAAAAUUAUUAUUUGGG
rnacentral:lncRNA from 1 species